UGUGUACGCUUCCGGGAUAUUACCAAGUUUCGACACGGUGGUUGAGGUUUUGAUUUGAACCAGUCAGAAGUUACUCGAUAGUAUAGCAUCAAAUAAUUGUUACUUUGAUGUAUAGAAUUUAAAACGUUUGUAAUAUAAUCAUAUAGGAAUCCUAUGACCGGAUCUAACCAAAUGAAGACUCGGCGAUUAUCGCAGUUUCGCUCGAAUAUCUUUCAUUACGCUUCGCAUGAAAACGCUUUCCAUAUUUCCUGCAACAUUGUGUGUAUCCUACAGUCCAAACUCGGAUUCUUGCUAGGGACCAAAACAAAACCAUUUGAAAAGAAGGCCGUGCAUAGAAUUCCGAGUGUACAUUUAGCCUAGCUAGUUUAGGAGAAAAGAGUGGUUUACCUGGAAUACGCCAACCAUCAACCAAUUUCUGUUUUGGGAGAGCACGUCAAGCUACUAAAGUAUUUCAUGGAUUUUCUGUGUUUCAGGACACUGUGCUGUAAAGGACCACCCUCUCCCAGACCAGAGUAUGACCUGGUGUGUAUUGGACUCACAGGCUCGGGGAAGACCAGUCUACUGUCCAGACUCUGCAGUGAAGCCACAGGCAACAUCGGGCCAACUACGGGUUUUAGCAUCAAAGCUGUUCCAUUCCAGAAUGCCAUUCUAAACGUGAAGGAACUCGGAGG